UUUCCUGUGGCUCAGUUGGUAGAACAUUGUGCUUGCAAUGCAAAGAUUGUCAGUUCAAAUCCCAGGGAAA
rnacentral:tRNA from 1 species